rnacentral:rRNA from 1 species
GAUGAACGCUGGCGGCGUGCCUAAUACAUGCAAGUCGAGCGAACGGACGAGAAGCUUGCUUCUCUGAUGUUAGCGGCGGACGGGUGAGUAACACGUGGAUAACCUACCUAUAAGACUGGGAUAACUUCGGGAAACCGGAGCUAAUACCGGAUAAUAUUUUGAACCGCAUGGUUCAAAAGUGAAAGACGGUCUUGCUGUCACUUAUAGAUGGAUCCGCGCUGCAUUAGCUAGUUGGUAAGGUAACGGCUUACCAAGGCAACGAUGCAUAGCCGACCUGAGAGGGUGAUCGGCCACACUGGAACUGAGACACGGUCCAGACUCCUACGGGAGGCAGCAGUAGGGAAUCUUCCGCAAUGGGCGAAAGCCUGACGGAGCAACGCCGCGUGAGUGAUGAAGGUCUUCGGAUCGUAAAACUCUGUUAUUAGGGAAGAACAUAUGUGUAAGUAACUGUGCACAUCUUGACGGUACCUAAUCAGAAAGCCACGGCUAACUACGUGCCAGCAGCCGCGGUAAUACGUANGUGGCAAGCGUUAUCCGGAANUUAUGGGCGUNAAGCGCGCGUAGGCGGUUUUUUAGUCUGAUGUGAAAGCCCACGGCUCAACCGUGGAGGGUCAUUGGAAACUGGAAAACUUGAGUGCAGAAGAGGAAAGUGGAAUUCCAUGUGUAGCGGUGAAAUGCGCAGAGAUAUGGAGGAACACCAGUGGCGAAGGCGACUUUCUGGUCUGUAACUGACGCUGAUGUGCGAAAGCGUGGGGAUCAAACAGGAUUAGAUACCCUGGUAGUCCACGCCGUAAACGAUGAGUGCUAAGUGUUAGGGGGUUUCCGCCCCUUAGUGCUGCAGCUAACGCAUUAAGCACUCCGCCUGGGGAGUACGACCGCAAGGUUGAAACUCAAAGGAAUUGACGGGGACCCGCACAAGCGGUGGAGCAUGUGGUUUAAUUCGAAGCAACGCGAAGAACCUUACCAAAUCUUGACAUCCUUUGACAACUCUAGAGAUAGAGCCUUCCCCUUCGGGGGACAAAGUGACAGGUGGUGCAUGGUUGUCGUCAGCUCGUGUCGUGAGAUGUUGGGUUAAGUCCCGCAACGAGCGCAACCCUUAAGCUUAGUUGCCAUCAUUAAGUUGGGCACUCUAAGUUGACUGCCGGUGACAAACCGGAGGAAGGUGGGGAUGACGUCAAAUCAUCAUGCCCCUUAUGAUUUGGGCUACACACGUGCUACAAUGGACAAUACAAAGGGCAGCGAAACCGCGAGGUCAAGCAAAUCCCAUAAAGUUGUUCUCAGUUCGGAUUGUAGUCUGCAACUCGACUACAUGAAGCUGGAAUCGCUAGUAAUCGUAGAUCAGCAUGCUACGGUGAAUACGUUCCCGGGUCU